UCAUGGCUCAGGAUGAACGCUGGCGGCGUGCUUAACACAUGCAAGUCGAACGAAGAUGCCGGAGUGCUUGCACUUUGGCAGACUGAGUGGCGGACGGGUGAGUAACGCGUGGGUAACCUGCCUUAUACAGGGGGAUAACAGUUGGAAACGACUGCUAAUACCGCAUAAGCGCACGGUAUCGCAUGAUACAGUGUGAAAAACUCCGGUGGUAUAAGAUGGACCCGCGUCUGAUUAGCUUGUUGGUGAGGUAACGGCCCACCAAGGCGACGAUCAGUAGCCGGCCUGAGAGGGUGAACGGCCACAUUGGGACUGAGACACGGCCCAAACUCCUACGGGAGGCAGCAGUGGGGAAUAUUGCACAAUGGGGGAAACCCUGAUGCAGCGACGCCGCGUGAGUGAUGAAGUAUUUCGGUAUGUAAAACUCUAUCAGCAGGGAAGAUAAUGACGGUACCUGACUAAGAAGCACCGGCUAAAUACGUG
rnacentral:rRNA from 1 species